rnacentral:sRNA from 1 species
AUUCUGCCCAUGCGGGGAAGGAUGAGAAGCUUCGACUAAGGUUCGGCUCGAGCGUCAGCGAGAGAGCGUUGCCGCAGGCAACGACCCG